GGAUCCGUUGUCUAGCCUGGAUAAGAUGCCCGGUUGCGGACCGGGAGAUCGAGAGUUCGAAUCUCUCCGGAUCCA
rnacentral:tRNA from 1 species